GCCGUAACUAUAACGGUCCUAAGGUAGCGAAAUUCCUUGUCGGGUAAGUUCCGACCUGCACGAAUGGCGUAACGAUGGCGGCGCUGUCUCCACCCGAGACUCAGUGAAAUUGAAAUCGCUGUGAAGAUGCAGUGUAUCCGCGGCUAGACGGAAAGACCCCGUGAACCUUUACUAUAGCUUUGCACUGGACUUUGAAUUUGCUUGUGUAGGAUAGGUGGGAGGCUUUGAAGCGUGGACGCCAGUUCGCGUGGAGCCAACCUUGAAAUACCACCCUGGCAACUUUGAGGUUCUAACUCAGGUCCGUUAUCCGGAUCGAGGACAGUGUAUGGUGGGUAGUUUGACUGGGGCGGUCUCCUCCUAAAGAGUAACGGAGGAGUACGAAGGUGCGCUCAGACCGGUCGGAAAUCGGUCGUAGAGUAUAAAGGCAAAAGCGCGCUUGACUGCGAGACAGACACGUCGAGCAGGUACGAAAGUAGGUCUUAGUGAUCCGGUGGUUCUGUAUGGAAGGGCCAUCGCUCAACGGAUAAAAGGUACUCCGGGGAUAACAGGCUGAUACCGCCCAAGAGUUCAUAUCGACGGCGGUGUUUGGCACCUCGAUGUCGGCUCAUCACAUCCUGGGGCUGAAGCCGGUCCCAAGGGUAUGGCUGUUCGCCAUUUAAAGUGGUACGCGAGCUGGGUUUAGAACGUCGUGAGACAGUUCGGUCCCUAUCUGCCGUGGACGUUUGAGAUUUGAGAGGGGCUGCUCCUAGUACGAGAGGACCGGAGUGGACGAACCUCUGGUGUUCCGGUUGUCACGCCAGUGGCAUUGCCGGGUAGCUAUGUUCGGAAUAGAUAACCGCUGAAAGCAUCUAAGCGGGAAACUAGCCUCAAGAUGAGAUCUCACUGGAACCUUGAGUUCCCUGAAGGGCCGUCGAAGACUACGACGUUGAUAGGUUGGGUGUGUAAGCGCUGUGAGGCGUUGAGCUAACCAAUACUAAUUGCCCGUGAGGCUUGACCAU
rnacentral:rRNA from 1 species